rnacentral:rRNA from 1 species
GUCCACGCCGUAAACUAUGGACACUAGGUAUGGGGUAUCGACCCCCCGUGCCGAAGUUAACGCUAUAAGUGUCCCGCCUGGGGAGUACGGCCGCAAGGCUAAAACUCAAAGGAAUUGACGGGGCCCGCACAAGCAGCGGAGCGUGUGGUUUAAUUCGACGCAACGCGAAGAACCUUACCAAGACUUGACAUGCACCUGAAAGGCAGAGAAGUCUGCCCCUCCUUCGGGACGGGUGCACAGAUGCUGCAUGGCUGUCGU